rnacentral:tRNA from 1 species
UAUAUUUAUUUAAUAUG